UACAGAGGUCUCAAGCGUUGUUCGGAUUCAUUGGGCGUAAAGGGUGCGUAGGUGGCGUGGUAAGUCGGGUGUGAAAUUUCGGAGCUUAACUCCGAAACUGCAUUCGAUACUGCCGUGCUUGAGGACUGGAGAGGAGACUGGAAUUUACGGUGUAGCAGUGAAAUGCGUAGAGAUCGUAAGGAAGACCAGUGGCGAAGGCGGGUCUCUGGACAGUUCCUGACACUGAGGCACGAAGACCAGGGGAGCAAACGGG
rnacentral:rRNA from 1 species